GGAGAGAUGGCCGAGUGGUUGAUGGCUCCGGUCUUGAAAACCGGUAUAGUUUUCAAACUAUCGAGGGUUCAAAUCCCUCUCUCUCCU
rnacentral:tRNA from 2 species